UCGGCCGUACCAUGCUGAAUAUACCGGUUCUCGUUAGAUCACCGAAGUCAAGCAUCAUUGGGCGUGGUCAGUACUUGGGUGGGUGACCACCUGGGAACACCGCGUGCCGUU